AUUGAACGCUGGCGGCAGGCCUAACACAUGCAAGUCGAACGAGUGGCGGACGGGUGAGUAAUGUCUGGGCAACUGCCCGAUGGAGGGGGAUAACUACUGGAAACGGUAGCUAAUACCGCAUACCCUCGGAUGUGCCCAGAUGGGAUUCGCUAGUAGGUGGGGUAACGGCUCACAUAGGCGACGAUCCCUAGCUGGUCUGAGAGGAUGACCAGCCACACGGGAAUGGAGAAAGGGUCAAGACGCCUACGGGAGGCAGCAGUGGGGAAUAUGGCACAAUGGGGGCAAGCCUGAGGCAGCCAUGCCGGGUGUAUGAAGAAGUCCUUCGGGUUUUAAAGUACGUUCAGCGAGGAGGCGGUACUCGCAGAAGAAGCACCGGCUAACUCCGUGCCAGCAGCCGCGGUAAUAC
rnacentral:rRNA from 1 species